rnacentral:rRNA from 1 species
AACGAACGCUGGCGGCAGGCCUAACACAUGCAAGUCGAGCGGACCUUUCGGGGUCAGCGGCGGACGGGUGAGUAACGCGUGGGAAUAUGCCCUUCUCUACGGAAUAGUCCUGGGAAACUGGGGUUAAUACCGUAUACGCCCUUUGGGGGAAAGAUUUAUCGGGGAAGGAUUAGCCCGCGUUGGAUUAGGUAGUUGGUGGGGUAAUGGCCUACCAAGCCGACGAUCCAUAGCUGGUUUGAGAGGAUGAUCAGCCACACUGGGACUGAGACACGGCCCAGACUCCUACGGGAGGCAGCAGUGGGGAAUCUUAGACAAGGGGGGCAACCCUGAUCAAGCCAUGCCGCGGGAGUGAUGAAGGCCUUAGGGUUGUAAAGCUCUUUGAGCUGGGAAGAUAAUGACGGUAACAGCAGAAGAAGCCCCGGCUAACUCCGUG